UACGUAGGUGGCAAGCGUUGUUCGGAAUUAUUGGGCGUAAAGGGCGCGUAGGCGGUCUUGUAAGUCAGCUGUGAAAGCCCGGGGCUCAACCCCGGAGGGUCGGCUGAUACUGCAGGACUGGAGUACGGAAGAGGUAGCUGGAAUUCCCGGUGUAGCGGUGAAAUGCGUAGAGAUCCGGAAGAACACCGGUGGCGAAGGCGGCCUGCUGGGCAGUAGCUGACGCUGAUGCGCGACAGCGUGGGGAGCAAACAGG
rnacentral:rRNA from 1 species